rnacentral:miRNA from 1 species
UGUGUGUGUGUGUGUGUGUGUGUGUGUGUGUGUGUGAUUAUAUAUAUAUAUAUACACACACACACACACACACACACACACACACA